UACAGAGGUCUCAAGCGUUGUUCGGAUUCAUUGGGCGUAAAGGGUGCGUAGGCGGCGCGGUAAGUCGGGUGUGAAAUCUCGGAGCUUAACUUCGAAACUGCAUUCGAUACUGCCGUGCUUGAGGACUGGAGAGGAGACUGGAAUUUACGGUGUAGCGGUGAAAUGCGUAGAUAUCGUAAGGAAGACCAGUGGCGAAGGCGGGUCUCUGGACAGUUCCUGACGCUGAGGCACGAAGGCCAGGGGAGCAAACAGG
rnacentral:rRNA from 1 species